rnacentral:rRNA from 1 species
UACGUAGGGUCCGAGCGUUGUCCGGAAUUACUGGGUAUAAAGGGUGCGCAGGCGGGUAUUUGCGUCGGGGGUUAAAGACCAAAGCUUAACUUUGGGAAUGCCUCCGAAACGGGAUAUCUUGAGUAUGAGAGAGGUAGGUAGAAUUCAUGGUGUAGCGGUGAAAUGCGUAGAUAUCAUGAGGAAUACCAGUGGCGAAGGCGGCCUACUGGCUCAUUACUGACGCUCAGGCACGAAAGCGUGGGGAGCAAACAGG